rnacentral:rRNA from 1 species
AUUGAACGCUGGCGGAAUGCUUUACACAUGCAAGUCGAACGGCAGCACGGACUUCGGUCUGGUGGCGAGUGGCGAACGGGUGAGUAAUACAUCGGAACGUGCCCAGUCGUGGGGGAUAACGUAGCGAAAGCUACGCUAAUACCGCAUACGAUCUAAGGAUGAAAGCGGGGGAUCGCAAGACCUCGCGCGACUGGAGCGGCCGAUGGCAGAUUAGGUAGUUGGUAGGGUAAAGGCCUACCAAGCCGACGAUCUGUAGCUGGUCUGAGAGGACGACCAGCCACACUGGGACUGAGACACGGCCCAGACUCCUACGGGAGGCAGCAGUGGGGAAUUUUGGACAAUGGACGCAAGUCUGAUCCAGCCAUUCCGCGUGCAGGAUGAAGGCCCUCGGGUUGUAAACUGCUUUUGUACAGAACGAAAAGGCUCUGGUUAAUACCUGGAGCUCAUGACGGUACUGUAGGAAUAAGCACCGGCUAACUACGUGCCAGCAGCCGCGGUAA